rnacentral:lncRNA from 1 species
CUAACUUGAGAAAGUGAUGUUCUCCUGGGCUUCUUUGGAAAUGAAAAAGUUAGCCCGUGAAAGAGGAUCUUAACUCAACGCGAGUCACAAAUUCUCAAAGUCUGGUGACGUGUUCAAUAAGAGGUUCACAAAAGAUAAAGUAAAGAUAAAGAUAAAGUAGAUUCUGCAGUUACUGUGUAACUAAAAAGUGACUGUAGACUAACAUCUGUUGUUUUUCCUACAGUUCCUGUGCAUUGCCUAAUACAAGAUGUCUUUUGCAGUCACCUGACUUUGUGGGAAAACACCAUCACGUGAGGAGGUUCACCAAGUUCGAGCUGAAUUCUCGACAUUCUAGCAGACCCUGUUAUGGAACGGCUCACCUUGUAGCUUUGACCUGCAGGGAAAAGAGGACACACAGCCGUGUAAACAGAGCAUGUGGUCUCAACUUACAAAACAACAUCUCGUGUCUCAGGCGAGCUGAGGACUUUUCUUUCUCCUCCAUCUGACACAUCAAACUGCCAUGGUCUUCCUAAAAAAAAAAAGAAAAAAGGAAGAAGCAGGUUUUAUUAUGUGAGGCGUGUUUCAUAGCGUGACGUGGAUCUUGUUGCGUGAGUCUCAUGCUCCUGUGACCAACUAAGGUCAGGUUUCCUGAAAUCCCUUUGGCUCAAAGCUCACAGUAUCUCCUUUUCAAAUCCACAUUCAAAUCAUUGUUUUGAACACAGCAGAGCGUAGAUGAUAGAUUUAUGAUGUGACGUAAGGACUUAUGUCUGAAUUAUUUCUGUCAGAGCCUCAACCAUGAAACCGACUUAACGAGGAUGUCUCCAAUGAAAGCCUCAUUUACGGCAGCGAUAUAAAGGCCGGGCCAGUCCACCGGGUGAAACUUUCCACAAUAACACAGCGUACUGCAGAGUGCACUUUUCCUGACCUUGCAUUUUUUUUUUUUUUUUUUUAUUCUUUAAUAAGUCUUAGCCUAAUCCUGACACAGAAACCAAGCUGGAUGUAUUUUCUAAUAUUUUAUGUAACGUUCUAUAUGCUCUGAUGCAAAAAGACUUAAUCCUACUUACCAAGUAAUCUUUUCAUU